rnacentral:lncRNA from 1 species
AAGCGGAAAGCAAGAUUGAAUUUUCAGCAACGUAGAUCCUGGUGUUCAGUCUUUUGGGAACGUGAGAUGAACAGGAGAAGGGUCAUGACUCAUCAGUAACAGCUUCAGUCUACUUAGAAUACAGAAUGGAGAAUCCUAGUGAACGCAAAGCUCAAUACACAGCUUAGUGUCUAUUUAGAAAUUAGAAUACAAGAAUGGAGAAUUUAUGAGCAGUUUAUUCUGAUUAACAAAAUUCGUUUGCUGUAGACGAGAGCAGUCAGUGAGGAUCCCUGCAACUAUGCACAAACGCUGAAAUCAUGUAGUGAUAUACUAGAUGAUGUGGUACAACGGAAGCAAGCUAAGAUUUGUAAUAUAUGUUUCCUAGAGAUUAAUACUCCGUAUUAGACUACACCAAACUAAUCUACUUACAAACAUGAUCCGAAAAUCUGAGUUCUGACAUCUAUAUAUGUACAUUUCAUCUGAAAAACAAGAGUGAUGACAGUUUAGCACUCAGGAGGACAGAGCGCGAACAAGCCAGUGAAGCCAUACCAGUGGCAGAAGAAAAACAAACUAUGUAAAAAAUACCACACGUCACGGCGCCAUCCUUCCAAGAUCAACCCGCGUGGCGUCAUGCCGUGGCGNNN